CAGUGCCUCACAACCCUUUUGGUGAAGAAUUUUUUCCUUAUAUCCAACCUAAACCUCCCCUGGUACAAUUUGAGGCCAUUUCCUCUUGUCCUAUUGCUUGUGGGAUGGGAGAAGAGACCGAUCCCCACCCUGCUACAGCCUCCUUUGGGGUAGGUGGUGGCUGGGAGAAG